CUGAUUUCACUGCUGUUAAAUUCUUAGCUUCUUUGAUGACGACUUCUAAUAUACCUCCAGAGGGCAGAUGAUUCUCUCCCUUUUUUCCUUUCUUAAAGCUCUUCUUUCCUUGAAACUGCCCUAGAGGAAGCAUCAAGUUUAUCUCUGGGGGAAUGUAACGUAGAACAACUGUCAGUUCUCCUUUAUAUUGAAGCCCAACAUCUGUUGCAACCUCCAC
rnacentral:lncRNA from 1 species